GUUCAAAAUAUCGCGAGGGUUGGUUGUGUUCGACGCAAUUCAAAGUUUACGCGCGAAAGUUGGUGUCAUAUUUUCUAAGGAUGUUUUAUUUCUAAAGAUUAACUAUGGCGUGGAAAAUUCUGUUCACGACGGUUUUCUUUAUACUGAGUGCAGACGCUCGCUACAAUGAACGCGUACUUGCAAAUGGAAUUGCG